AUUGAACGCUGGCGGCAGGCCUAACACAUGCAAGUCGAGCGGAUGAAGGGAGCUUGCUCCUGGAUUCAGCGGCGGACGGGUGAGUAAUGCCUAGGAAUCUGCCUGGUAGUGGGGGAUAACGUCCGGAAACGGGCGCUAAUACCGCAUACGUCCUGAGGGAGAAAGUGGGGGAUCUUCGGACCUCACGCUAUCAGAUGAGCCUAGGUCGGAUUAGCUAGUUGGUGGGGUAAAGGCCUACCAAGGCGACGAUCCGUAACUGGUCUGAGAGGAUGAUCAGUCACACUGGAGCUGAGACACGGUCCAGACUCCUACGGGAGGCAGCAGUGGGGAAUAUUGGACAAUGGGCGAAAGCCUGAUCCAGCCAUGCCGCGUGUGUGAAGAAGGUCUUCGGAUUGUAAAGCACUUUAAGUUGGGAGGAAGGGCAGUAAGUUAAUACCUUGCUGUUUUGACGAUACCAACAGAAUAAGCACCGGCUAACUUCGUG
rnacentral:rRNA from 1 species